rnacentral:snRNA from 1 species
GUGUUCGCUUCAGCAGCACAUAUACUAAAAUUGGAACCAUACAGAGAAGAUUAGCAUGGCCCCUGCGCAAGGAAGGCAUGCAAAUUCGUGAAGUGUUCCGUAUUAAA